GGGAAGGAAACAGGAACUGCAGGAAUGAGAAAGCUUAUGCAUCAAGAUAAUGACAGGGAGAUUGCUCACUAAUUAUCUCUGCAAGAAAAAUGGACUUAGGGAAAAUUAAUUUAUUGCAUGUUUGAACAAUAAUGUACUUACUAAUUCAGGUUGUGGGAAACAAAAGUAAAAACAUUAAAACACAUUUCCUCCCCACUUUCCUAGGUUCAGCUUCACAUCUUCACUCCAGUCUCCUGGUGCAGGGAAGGAUGGGGCAGGGUACAGUCAGAUCAUAGUGGUUACUUUUGGCUUCCUAUUCAUACUUUCUGCUCCAAUGUAGGCUCUAUUGAUCAGGAAAAUCAAUUCUCAUGUGGGGUCCUCCAAUGGCUGCGUAAUGUAUGUGCUCCAGUGCCUUCUCUGACCUUGGUGUUCCCUCUGAUGCAUGUCACUCUUCUUGUUUCCUCCUCCUCACUCCAUCUUGUGUUUUCUUAAUUAUAUUCUCAUAGGGGCACCAGUAGCUUGGCUGAUGGGUUCAGCUUUGGAUGGCAGAGGGUCCAUUUUGGAGCCAGCUGGAACCAGCCAUGUCAGUUUUCAGGGUGAAAACCAUAGAGUCUCACUGGGAUCUGUAUUGUGACCUGUUCUGCUUAACAUAUUUAUACGCAUUUUGAAAGAAGGGUGAAAGAUUACAAAGUUUGAUAGUAAAGGCAAAAGAUGUUUCAAAUGUCAUGGUUCUGUGUGAUCCCAUAACUAAAAGCCAGAUGAAGUUCAGCAUAGACAAAAUAUAAAUUGAUAGACCAAAAGAAAAAUAAUUCUGCCUUUACAUACAAAAGGAUAGAGUGUGAAGUAUUCUAACUUGAAGUUAACAGAUCAUACCAGGAAAUAUCAGGAACAUGCUUAAUAAUAGUCCAAAAUAACAAAAUCACAAAUCACUAUGGAAGGAAUAUAAAAAUAUAAUGGUGACAAAAACACAGCUCCAGACUCAAUACUGUGUAUAAUUCUAGCAAGUAAUUUUUACUGUUUCUUCCAGUUGAAGAGCUAGGAAACAGUGAAGGAAAAUAGCUAACAGCAGAUUUUAAUCAAAUAAAAAGAAGAUAAUUCUUCAGACAUGUCAUUAAAUUAUACCUUUGGCCACAGAAUCAUGGAUGCUAAAAUUAACUUAAAAAUUACCAUAAAAAUCAAGGAAACAAAAAUCUAUUAAGAGUUAUUAAAAAUAAAAAUUCAUUUUAAAA
ensembl:lncRNA